AGUUUAAACUCAGCAAGCAUAUCAUUUUCAGCUCCCAAAAUUCGUCCUUAACCCUUUCUCCAUGGAAGAACAUCAACCAAACUUCAAAGGAGCAUAACUCAUUCGUUUUUGAUCCGAUUUGGGCGAUUCUCGCGGCAACGGAAAGAGGAGAUCAAUAUCUACUGAUAUAUCCCAAUAAUAUAAGUGAAUUAUAAGCUAAUUGAAGGAUUUUGGAUGGUGAAUUUUGAUGAUUAAAGCUUUGGCUAAGAGACAAUCAUCAAGGGAUAGUAUGAUAUGAUUUGGAGAGUCAAGCUUCCGAAGUUUUAAUUCUCGGAAGUCAUUUGCACAAGAAGUGAAAGAAGGUUUUCAUUCUAGCGGUCCGCAGUAGUCUAGAUGUUUUUGUCUAUGUAUUUGUAUAACGCGUUUUAACUCUGAUAUUUUUGUAAAAUGGGGUCACAAGUAUUUUGAUAUGUGAAAUAUGAUUUGAUUUGCGAAAAAUUUACACAGGUUUUUAGGCUUGCUACGGGUUUCGGAGCUACCACUCCCAUUCCCUAGCGCCGGUCGCGACUCAUAAAUUUGGGUCGUGACAAAGGUGGUAUCAGAGCAAUGGUUUAGAUUCAUAGGCCAUUGCCUGUAUACGAUUGAUGUAUGUAGUUCCUAGGUAUGAUGUCACUAGGUUAAGCUAAGAACUACUGCGGAUUAUAGGGAUUUCCAGUCAUGUCUUUUGAACGUUAUCAACGUUUUCAUCGAUUUUUCAAAAGUUUUACAAAAGCGUCCUCUCCCUUAUGUGCUAUUAGGAGUCGAGUUAGAUGUGUACGAGCACAAAAUAUGUGUGUGUUUACUCGAGUAAGCAAUAUGCUUUCGAGUAUCUAUAGUCUACGAAGAGUUAUAUACUCUCGAGACUCAUAUGAUGUAUGAAUAUCGUUAUGGACAAUGAUUGAAUUAUAAAUUGGUUGGAUUGGAUAUUAUACGAGUGAUGUAAUGUAACAAAUAAGAUAUGUAUGUUUGCAGCGCGAUCACUCAGGAGAGUGAUAUGCUCACAGGUAUGUAAGCCUGUGAUAAUUUAUACGAUACAUAAAAUUUAUAUAUUGUAAUCGAUUGUUAUGAAUAGAAAUAGUUUCUUAUGAUUCAA